rnacentral:lncRNA from 1 species
AUCUUGAAAACGGAAAAUAAAAACAGCAGACCUAUGAAGGUCGAAGGGGAAGAAAAGCUGUAUCGAUUGUUGAGAUCUGGCGACUUGUUUAAAUUUCAUCAGCCUCACUUCUAUGAACUCUCAGAGCUGAUUACCAACUCCUACCACUGUUAACCCUCAUCCAGGAACAAGCUUAUGUCUUUAACAUUCUGAGUGGGCUUCAGCAUCCUUGCAUAUGUUCAAUUCUUAAAAACCUGUUGAAAUAAAAGAUCAGGAGACAUAGGAAGGAUGCCAGAAGAGAGCGUGGCCUCACGUGUACCAGCUCUCUGCUCUCCUUUGCCUUGGGACGUUCCAUCCCUGGAAGUUUCCCUGCCCACAUCUUUGUAGAGAGUCCAUUCUCCAAGCUUCAGUGUGUCAUCUGUGAGGACCGUGACCCACCUGGUACAUCGCCUCAGGGCAUUCAUUUCAGGCUCCUUCUAAAUGGCCAAGUUUUCAAGAUUGUUUUGGCUCUAGCAAAACAAGUUGGAACAUUCACAUCAUCCAUCUUCUGCCAGCCUAACAAGCAUAGCAAGAAGAUAUAGCCCCACAACCACUUUAUGCACAAAGUUAGAAGCAUAAAAUCUCAUGGAAGGAGACCGAUUAUCUACAGAAGAGGUUGUCUUGCCAUUUCUCUCAUGUUAGAGGUAAACCUCAGGUUCUCCUCCUGCCUUUUGCUAAGUAUAUGUCUUGAUGACAAGCCUUCUGCUGAUGAGCUGUGUUUCUGGACCGAUCAUGCUGCACUGAUGAGGAAACUGAAACAGAAAAUCCAGAGUAAAUUCCACCAGGCCACACAGCAAGGUCUGAUAGAGCCAGGAGAGACUUUAUGAAAUCCAGACUCUCACACUAAUGCUCUAUCAGCUAGACCUCCAUGUGAGUCUCCCCAAUGUAGGUAGGAAGUGCUUUCCCUAAAAUGCUCAUAAAGCAAAUCAGAGCAAUGCUGCAUUCCAUGUGAUUUCUAAUUUGAAAUGCAAACAAUUGCCAAUUUGUUUGACUUGUAUUUAUAAUUAUUUCCUUGUGAAUUACUCAUCACUAAAUGCUUUAUAAAUAUUUUCUCUUUUUUUCCUCAAUGUCUAUGGAAUGAUCACAGCAUAGAAAA